CCACCGGAAAAAGAGAGUGGCGAACGGGUGAGUAACACGUGGGUAACCUGCCCAUCAGAAGGGGAUAACACUUGGAAACAGGUGCUAAUACCGUAUAACAAUCGAAACCGCAUGGUUUUGAUUUGAAAGGCGCUUUCGGGUGUCGCUGAUGGAUGGACCCGCGGUGCAUUAGCUAGUUGGUGAGGUAACGGCUCACCAAGGCCACGAUGCAUAGCCGACCUGAGAGGGUGAUCGGCCACAUUGGGACUGAGACACGGCCCAAACUCCUACGGGAGGCAGCAGUAGGGAAUCUUCGGCAAUGGACGAAAGUCUGACCGAGCAACGCCGCGUGAGUGAAGAAGGUUUUCGGAUCGUAAAACUCUGUUGUUAGAGAAGAACAAGGAUGANAGUAACUGUUCAUCCCUUGACGGUAUCUAACCAGAAAGCCACGGCUAACUACGUGCCAGCAGCCGCGGUAAUACGUAGGUGGCAAGCGUUGUCCGGAUUUAUUGGGCGUA
rnacentral:rRNA from 1 species